AGAAACUUAGGUUUACCCCAAACCGGAGGCCUUCAAAGCCUCAAACAAGAGUUAAACCCUCUUAGUUUCUG
rnacentral:tRNA from 1 species